rnacentral:rRNA from 1 species
AUUGAACGCUGGCGGCAUGCCUUACACAUGCAAGUCGAACGGCAGCACGGGAGCAAUCCUGGUGGCGAGUGGCGAACGGGUGAGUAAUACAUCGGAACGUGCCCUGUAGUGGGGGAUAACUAGUCGAAAGAUUAGCUAAUACCGCAUACGACCUGAGGGUGAAAGUGGGGGACCGCAAGGCCUCAUGCUAUAGGAGCGGCCGAUGUCUGAUUAGCUAGUUGGUGGGGUAAAGGCCUACCAAGGCGACGAUCUGUAGCGGGUCUGAGAGGAUGACCCGCCACACUGGGACUGAGACACGGCCCAGACUCCUACGGGAGGCAGCAGUGGGGAAUUUUGGACAAUGGGGGCAACCCUGAUCCAGCAAUGCCGCGUGUGUGAAGAAGGCCUUCGGGUUGUAAAGCACUUUUGUCCGGAAAGAAAUCGCGCUGGUUAAUACCUGGCGUGGAUGACGGUACCGGAAGAAUAAGCACCGGCUAACUACGUGCCAGCCGCCGCCGUAA